AACUCACCUUGAGAGAAUCCACCGCUCGAGGGACCUUGGAAACUUCGGACGAAGGAAUUUCCUCUAGGAGUUCCUUCACGUAUGCGGCUGCUGUGGCCGCAGCGUACGGCUGCCACUCCUUGUUUUUAUGGGAAUCUGCGUAAUCAGAGAUACCUCGGACUACCAGACAGGGAAACUCAUCCAUAAGUCCCGCAGCUUCCAUCUCAACACAUAUUAUUCCAAGUUCAUCGUAUAGCUUAUUUCGGGUGAUGCCAUCUUUGAUAACAAGAUUGGAAGAUCCGAUAGUACCAUAGUGAAUUUCAGGGCCUGCUUCAGGUCAUGGCUCACGGUUAACAAGCUUUUCUGGAAGACAUGAUUUGCAAGUGUUCAUUUUUCCUGGGUGGGGAUACGUUGCUUCAAAGAGCAUAUCUUUGACACUUUCCGGAUCACCUAGAGGUCCCUUUUUCAUUUUGGGAAAUUUGCUGAGCAGAGUGGACACGUGUUUCAUCAAACUGUUGCCUUCUCUGAUGUGCCUUGCGUGAAGCUUUUCCGCACUUGACAAGAGCAAUUUUGGAGGCUUCGACAACGCCCCUGUCCGUUCAAACCUUCCAUCCCUAUAUAUCUUACCCC
rnacentral:sRNA from 1 species